GAAACCGUUCAGGGGUAAACCUGAGAAACCCAAAAGAUCGAAUGGGGAGAUUCAUCGUCGACGGCCGUCCUGGCCCCCGUUGACGCGCGAUGCGCCGACUGAAUCGUUCGUCCGAGCGGUUCACGCAGCGAGCGCACGCCGCCUUCGGGGUGUUCCGGCGUCGUAGUCGUGCACUUCUCCCCUAGUAGAACGUCGCGACCCGUUGCGUGUCGGUCUACGGCCCGAGCGGUAGCCUGUCCCGUCUCGCCUAGCGCGUGCGUGGACAGACCCUCGGUCGCCCGGCCGGCUGCGCGACGGUACCCGCACGGUAUCGGGCCGCAGCGAUUUUUUUAAAUCGCGUGCGUCAGGCCCGUCGCAAGCUAGGUCAGUUCCAUACCCGGAGGUGUUUACGGACCCGGUGCCGUCCCCGGGCCUGGCCAGCUGUUGGCCGACGGUGUCCUCUGACUGUGUCCAUUCGAAUCUUUUUUACCGGUCGGCGACGCUAUUGCUUUGGGUACUCUCAGGACCCGUCUUGAAACACGGACCAAGGAGUCUAACAUGUGCGCGAGUCAUUGGGAUCGAUAUUUGAAACCUAAAGGCGGAAUGAAAGUGAAGGUCGUACCUUCGAGUCGACCGAGGGAGGAUGGGCCGCGUACAAUUUCGAUUCGUGCGGCCUCGCACUCCCGGGGCGUCUCGUUCUCAUCGCGAGAAGAGGCGCACCCAGAGCGUACACGUUGGGACCCGAAAGAUGGUGAACUAUGCCUGGUCAGGACGAAGUCAGGGGAAACCCUGAUGGAGGUCCGUAGCGAUUCUGACGUGCAAAUCGAUCGUCGGAACUGGGUAUAGGGGCGAAAGACUAAUCGAACCAUCUAGUAGCUGGUUCCCUCCGAAGUUUCCCUCAGGAUAGCUGGCACUCGCUCGUUCCAUGUUUGAACGCGUGCGAGUCUCAUCUGGUAAAGCGAAUGAUUAGAGGCCUUGGGGCCGAAACGACCUCAACCUAUUCUCAAACUUUAAAUGGGUGAGAUCUCUGGCUUGCUUGAAUUCAUGAAGCCACGAGAUUUUUUUGGAUCAGAGUGCCAAGUGGGCCAUUUUUGGUAAGCAGAACUGGCGCUGUGGGAUGAACCAAACGUGGAGUUAAGGCGCCCAAGUCGACGCUUAUGGGAUACCAUGAAAGGCGUUGGUUGCUUAAGACAGCAGGACGGUGGCCAUGGAAGUCGGAA
rnacentral:rRNA from 1 species